GCCAUUACUGUAGCACAGGGGUUGGCAACAUUCAGCACGCGGCCUAUCAGGGUAGUCUGCUGGCGGACAGCGAGACAUUUUGUUUACAUUGACCAUCGGCAGGCAUGGCCCCCCACAGCUCCCAGUGGCCGAGGUUCACCGUUCCCUGCCAAUGGAAGCUGCGGG